rnacentral:rRNA from 1 species
GAAUUCACUAGUGAUUCAGGCCUAACACAUGCAAGUCGAGCGGUAGAGAGAAGCUUGCUUCUCUUGAGAGCGGCGGACGGGUGAGUAAUGCCUAGGAAUCUGCCUGGUAGUGGGGGAUAACGUUCGGAAACGGACGCUAAUACCGCAUACGUCCUACGGGAGAAAGCUGGGGACCUUCGGGCCUUGCGCUAUCAGAUGAGCCUAGGUCGGAUUAGCUAGUUGGUGAGGUAAUGGCUCACCAAGGCUACGAUCCGUAACUGGUCUGAGAGGAUGAUCAGUCACACUGGAACUGAGACACGGUCCAGACUCCUACGGGAGGCAGCAGUGGGGAAUAUUGGACAAUGGGCGAAAGCCUGGUCCAGCCAAGGCGCGUGUGUGAAGAAGGUCUUCGGAUUUAAAGCAAAUGGAGUUGGGAGGAAGGGCAUUACCUAAUACGUUA